rnacentral:rRNA from 1 species
CCCCUAGAUGUUCUGGGCCGCACGCGCGCUACACUGAACAGUUCAACAAGUCUUAACCUUGGCCGAUAGGUCUGGGUAAUCUUUGAACGCUGUUCGUGAUUGGGAUAGACCUUUGCAAUUAUGGGUCUUCAACGAGGAAUUCCUAGUAAACGCAAGUCAUCAGCUUGCAUUGAUUACGUCCCUGCCCUUUGUACACACCGCCCGUCGCACCUACCGAUUGAAUGGUCCGGUGAAAUCUCGGGACGGCGGCUUGGUCGCUCGCGUCCGACUGCUGAAACUUGAUUAAACCAUAUCAUUUAGAGGAAGGUGAAGUCGUANCA